GGAAGUGUGUGUGUGGUGAGUGCGUGAGACUUCGCGGGAUAUCUGUGUUGUGCUUGAAGUGGAUAAAAGUUAAUUAUUAUUUUGGAAACAGCCACAAAAUAUAUUCCUGGCUUCUCAGCGCUUCUCUCAGAUUCACCAGCUUCUGUUGAGCGCGCUCGUGCAUCGACGUGAAGUAAGGCUCCAGACGAUCCUUCACAUCUUCCACGCUCUGUGAAGCACGAGACUGAACCUCCUCAAGGUAUG
rnacentral:lncRNA from 1 species